rnacentral:rRNA from 1 species
UAGGGAAUCUUCGGCAAUGGGGGCAACCCUGACCGAGCAACGCCGCGUGAGUGAAGAAGGUUUUCGGAUCGUAAAGCUCUGUUGUAAGUCAAGAACGGGUGUGAGAGUGGAAAGUUCACACUGUGACGGUAGCUUACCAGAAAGGGACGGCUAACUACGUGCCAGCAGCCGCGGUAAUACGUAGGUCCCGAGCGUUGUCCGGAUUUAUUGGGCGUAAAGCGAGCGCAGGCGGUUUGAUAAGUCUGAAGUUAAAGGCUGUGGCUCAACCAUAGUUCGCUUUGGAAACUGUCAAACUUGAGUGCAGAAGGGGAGAGUGGAAUUCCAUGUGUAGCGGUGAAAUGCGUAGAUAUAUGGAGGAACACCGGUGGCGAAAAGCGGCUCUCUGGUCUGUAACUGACGCUGAGGCUCGAAAGCGUGGGGAGCGAACAGGAUUAGAUACCCUGGUAGUCCACGCCGUAAACGAUGAGUGCUAGGUGUUGGAUCCUUUCCGGGAUUCAGUGCCGAAGCUAACGCAUUAAGCACUCCGCCU